rnacentral:rRNA from 1 species
UACGAAGGGGGCUAGCGUUGCUCGGAAUCACUGGGCGUAAAGCGCACGUAGGCGGAUUCUUAAGUCAGGGGUGAAAUCCUGGAGCUCAACUCCAGAACUGCUUUUGAUACUGAGGGUCUUGAGUUCGGGAGAGGUGAGUGGAACUGCGAGUGUAGAGGUGAAAUUCGUAGAUAUUCGCAAGAACACCAGUGGCGAAGGCGGCUCACUGGCCCGAUACUGACGCUGAGGUGCGAAAGCGUGGGGAGCAAACAGG